ensembl:lncRNA
CUCUGACUUCCCUUCUGUGUGCUGUUUGCUGUGCAUUUUUUUUUCUGAGACAUGAUUGUUUUCCUGCUCUGGAAUUUAGCUGCUUCAGAGACAUGAUGUUACACAGUAAAGUGUGUUCCCCUUGCCUUCUGGCAUACUGGAUACUACUGAAAAGAACUGAGCUCUGUCGUCUUUACUCUGCAGCCUACUCCAACAGAUGUGUCUGCAGUCAGUCCUAAAGGAAAGGUUGCUCCAGAGAAACCAGCUUGCCACAGUGGAUCCCAGUUCUCUCAUGCUUAUAUCUGGAGAAGCUGCUGGUGAAGCAACUCCAUAGCUCCUUGUGGCUCUCCCACAUCCUCUUUGCAGAAGGUUCUGAGCACACGGAGGCUUCUGCUGAUAAACGCUCUAAGUUGUGAUAAAGCCAACAUCGUGGCUGUCUUCGCUGCUCACGACGUGAGAUGUGAAGGAAAAUUGCUGAGGGACACUUCCUAUGCAGCUUUCAUCACUGAGGCACUGGUAGGGGGGAGCAGCUCCUCCUCUUCACUCCCCAGCAGGCCACAGUGUGAAGACUAUGACAGCAGAGCAGGCAUGGAUGUGUCCCAUCUGCUGUGGUGUGCAAAAGGACAUUGCCUAUACCGUACUAUGCCAUCAUGAGUUCCAUCUGUGCUGCAUCCUGCAGUGCGACAGGCGGAAGGAGAGCUGCCUGGUCUGCAGGAGGGUCAUGACUGUCAUUAAGGAUGCUGUGUGGGAUGAUGAUGAUGACCUGGGCUUCACGAUCUGACUCCCAGCACCAUCAGUACCACGCUGCUUUCAGGCAGGCACUGCUCCUAUGCCAUUCACUCUACCCUUUCUGCUGUUGCCAGAUGAGCAGGAGCCUAAGGAGGCAGAGGAGGAACUUAUGGUGAGUAGUCUCCUGCCUGAGGUCUGGGCAGCCCUGUUCAGACAGCAACGGGACCUGUGCUGCCCUGGCUGCACCAGGAGCUGCACAUCAUCUUUGGGACACAGUGGUGGUCAACAAUGGCAGUGGAGAAUCUCAUCAUGAGUGCCCUGUGUGACACUGAGAUGGACAGGAAAGCCCUGAUCCAGCAGCUAUGGCCUGCCAUGGGGGACAGAAUGGAGAUGCUCAGCCAGGGACUCACUGACAUCACUGCGUGCCAGUGGGGUGAAGAGGCCUACUGACAGCCAGGCCUACAGGGUGUCCGCGUGUCUGGAGGGCAGGAGGACAGCUCUGUGGCUUCCCUUGGUCUUACAGCCUUCCCAUGAGUGACUCUCACCUCAAGGUCCAUGAUGAACACUUUCCUCUAGAAGAACAAGGAAAAGAAGCAGAUUUUAGAAGCAUUUCUAAGUGUAGCCAUUCUUGUGACAUUGGUCAUUAGAAUGGGUAUGAUUGGACUGGACAUUGGGUUUUAAGAUAUUCAAAACAUGCACAAGAAAUACAUUAAUCCUGAG